GGGCGUGUGGCUCAGUGGUAGAGCGCCCGCUUUGCAUCUUCUGUGUGCUUCGGCAUGUGGUUACUGAUGAGUCUGCGGGAGGCCCAGGUUUCGAUCACCUGCUCGUCCA